GGAUUUGGCGCAGCCAAAUAGAGUGACAGCCUUCUAAGCUGUAAGUCCGGAGUUCGAAUCUUCGCUGGCCCG
rnacentral:tRNA from 1 species